rnacentral:misc_RNA from 1 species
GAGUUCAUGCCCUCACGGGUAGACCUCCCACCCUUGAAUACUAUACCUUAGUUGCUUUGGCAGGCCGUGGUAACACCACGGGCUUCGGCUUGUGUGAGCCUGCCAGAGGAAACAAACUCUGUUUUUAGUGAUGUCUGAGUACUAUAUAAUAGUUAAAACUUUCAACAACGGAUCUCUUGGUUCU